CAGGGCUUCGUUGCCCGCUGUGAUCACUGGCUCGUACUGCAAAGCAGCGUCCAAGCAGGAGGGCGACACGUCAGGACCAUUUGCCAAGACCCCGUCCCUCAGCGUGCUGUUUGUGCAGCCCAGCGUGGAUCCUAUACCAAGCCCACAGUAUAGAUCUCUGGACCAGAAUCCCCCCAGCCCUUUUGGACCACUUUCAUUGAGCAGCGAGAGCAGUCCAGCCCUGCUCAGCCCCAUGCCGUGCCCUGGACCAGCUCUGCCCCCACAAACCAGGCCAGAUUCACCCAUCGGGCAGCAACCCCAAAAGCAGCCGUGACAAAACACGUGCAACUCACCCCAAAAUAUGAGCUGUGCCCGUCGCUCCAGAGCACGGCCAGGUCCGCGUUCUCAAACUCUCCCCGGUCCGACAUCCCGAAGAGGAGCCCGAACUUGAGUUCCCUGCUGAGGAUCUGGAAGUACACCGCUUGCUCGGGGUAGCUGACGUUCCAGGAGAGCUCGAGCAGCCCCUGGGGAUCGAGGGGCACCUUGUAGGGAAAAUAGGUGCCACGGGGCGCCGAGCCCUGCAGGGCAGCCACCAGGAUGACCAGGAACACGGCGAUCAUGGUGAAGUACACGGACGCUACCUCCCGCAUCUUGAAGCUGGGGCAGGGGCACGGCUUGCUGCCGGAGGUCUGCAUGCUGGGCAGGAUGGCAGCCGCCCUCCUGGCUUUUGCCAUUUAUGCUCUGGCCCUCCUGGGCGAGCCGGCCAUUGGCGUCUGGCACGAAGCUGCUUCCUGAAGGUUGCACAGCGAGCCAGCCUCAGCAUCAAGAGGAGCCAACUCAUGAGGCCAAAAGAGCCCGAGGAGCUUGAAGAUGGAGCUUUAGCAGCUUGGCAGAAGGGUCGGUGCAUUGAAUGACAAAGGCUGCGUGUGGGUCUGCCCUGCACACUUGAUGUCUGUAACAGACGAGUCAGCAGAAGGUACGAUGAGGGGUGGUGGAUGAAUAUGAUUGACACCAGAAAACUCAACAUGGCUUUUGUAUGGGGAGCACUUGCCACACUCUUGGCAGCCUUAAAGGGAGUGAAUAAGCUUGAAGGGUGAAUAAGAAAUAAGAGAAACAUGAGGGAGUUUGUGGUGGGCAUCCUGAGCCCUCUGCCUCUCUGCGCCCUUCCUUCACUGGCCCUUGCAGGUGAAGCAAUGGCUGUGGAGGAGCACAUCACAGUGCCAGCCUCGUGUGUCAGGACAUCAGCUGGUGGGUGCGAUGCAGCACCACGUGCCUGCCCCGUGCUGAGGCUGCUGCACCCCCAAGAACCUCGGUAUUUGGUGUUGGGUAUGAGCUGGGGGUGCUCAACGCCACAAGAGUGAAGCAGCUGGCUUGGGGAAGCAG